AAUAUCUGGUGAGUUUCUUGCACAGCAACACAGCCUACUUGCUGUAUCUAGAAGAGAGGCGUCAAUCAUGAUGAAGGUAGCCAAUUUCAAAGUCCUGAUCACUGUUCUUCUCCUUUUCGGGCUAAUUGAUAUCGCAUCUGGAUUCCUUACGGCCAAUUCAUUUUUUGAAGGCAAACUGCGGAAAAGGAGAUUCGACCAAGCCCAGAAACGUGAUUACGUGUCGAAGUACAAUAGUUGGAGCUCUGGUGGUAAAUGGAGAGACUGUAUGAAAAAGAAGAAGUGAAAAUAAAAUCAUGUG